rnacentral:rRNA from 1 species
AAAAGGUGGCUAUGCUACCGCUUUUGGAUGGGCCCGCGGCGCAUUAGCUAGUUGGUGGGGUAAAGGCUUACCAAGGCAAUGAUGCGUAGCCGAACUGAGAGGUUGAUCGGCCACAUUGGGACUGAGACACGGCCCAAACUCCUACGGGAGGCAGCAGUAGGGAAUCUUCCACAAUGGGCGAAAGCCUGAUGGAGCAACGCCGCGUGGGUGAAGAAGGUCUUCGGAUCGUAAAACCCUGUUGUUAGAGAAGAAAGUGCGUGAGAGUAACUGUUCACGUUUCGACGGUAUCUAACCAGAAAGCCACGGCUAACUACGUGCCAGCAGCCGCGGUAAUACGUAGGUGGCAAGCGUUAUCCGGACUUAUUGGGCGUAAAGGGAACGCAGGCGGUCUUUUAAGUCUGAUGUGAAAGCCUUCGGCUUAACCGGAGUAGUGCAUUGGAAACUGGGAGACUUGAGUGCAGAAGAGGAGAGUGGAACUCCAUGUGUAGCGGUGAAAUGCGUAGAUAUAUGGAAGAACACCAGUGGCGAAAGCGGCUCUCUGGUCUGUAACUGACGCUGAGGUUCGAAAGCGUGGGUAGCAAACAGGAUUAGAUACCCUGGUAGUCCACGCCGUAAACGAUGAAUGCUAAGUGUUGGAGGGUUUCCGCCCUUCA